CUGCGAAUUUUCUCGCUGUCCUGAUAGUCUUGUGAUCAGGGCAGGCUAGACAUUCGCUAUAUUAACACUAUGCAGUGUGUCCCCAGGGCUAGUGUUUCUCCCUAGUUCUGGUUUUAACUGCAAGUGACAUUU